rnacentral:sRNA from 1 species
AUGUAAUGGAUAUUUGUUGCCUUGAUAUUGAUUACUUUAUAUGCAAAAUGUCUUGCCUUUCGUGGAUGUGGUAUAAAAGUGAACGAGAAUGCCAGAUAACUAGAAACGGCAUUGUAUGCUCAACUGAGUCUUAAAGCGCUAAAGAAGGGUAAAGAAUACAGAGGUAUCUCGGUAGAAGUACAUAGUGAAGAAAGAAAAGAGAAAAUGGGAUAAAAAAGACUCAAUGUGUAGGAAAGGCAGGGCCACGGAGAUGGGUGCAUGCAAAAAGAAAUCAAAGUGGAAGAUGAAUAAUUUCCCUCCAAAACGAACCGCUGGUAUCCCACCCAGCCUGCUAUGUGGUUUGAAGUACCAUUUCUGUUCCCCAAGGAAACCCAUCGCUGCCGCCAGAAUGAAAAGGGAAACGGAAAAGAAGAUAAGAGAAAAGCAACCAAGGAAAGAAUUACCUCUAAUGCUGUGGA